GAAUUUUGGAGCCGGUGAUGUUCCGAGGUCUGCGCGGAUGGCUUCUUCUUCGCCGAGGCAGAGGAUGGGAGGAAGCCGCCGCAAUAAUGGAGGGGCUUUCUGUGCCUUCGAGGACGUGCUUUCCACGCACACACACCGUGUGACUGCGAAGCGGAGGCCUCGCUCGGCCGCGUACGCACGCGCGCUCACACGCACAGGCGCGCGCGCGCGCUUCAGGCAGGCCCUGACGGCAGAAAGCAGGCCAGCCACAUGCCCCGGUGUUUAAAGCUGUGCAUCCCCCGCUGGAGAGCGUGAAAGCGGGAGCUAAUGUGGCAUACAGGCCAUUUUGAUGGAAUAGUCGAGGUAAAUUAAUACUGUUUUGUGUUUAUUAAUACUGUUUUGUGUUUCGUUGUGUGUUAUUUACUAGUGGUGUCGCAGGUUGACGUGGUUGCGGAGGGGGUCAAUAUCACUCCGCCGUUGCUAGGUAACGACGGUUGUGGAACGUUGGCGAGUGUGCUUUUUUUUCUAACGGCUGUUAGGAACGAGACCGCUAACGGAGUUACUUUGUAACAAUUAUUAAAUUAAAAUGUUGCGGACUCAAUCUCAAUAUCUCUUUUGAUUGUUUGUCACCGUUACAUUUUUGGCGAGCCAGCCCCAGGAGGAGUUUCAGCUAAAAGUAACUAAUCCAAACGAGACGAACCGAAGACGGAGGAGAAACUACCGAUGGAGCAGCUUCAAGACGAAGUGAGCAGAACGCUGCUGAUGCUAGAGAAGUCAGAGCUAAUUUUAGUUUGUAAACACCUCAAGAGUGAUGAACCUCCAGGAGGGUUUACUGGCCAAACUCGGCGUUCCCUCAUCAGACUAGCAGAGACCACACUGGACGAUAUCGGAAAUGAGGAAGAACCUGAAUCGUUUCAACGGUUUCUCCAGAAUUUAAUCACCUUCAUGGAAUCCUGGACGUCGGAUGAGCCCAGAACACCAGAACAGACACAAGCUGACGAAGGUGAAUUAAACUCACUAAAAGUCAAGUAUAAGGAAUUCCAGGAAGAACAUAGCAAAGCCCGACAGCGCAUAGAGGAGGAAAUUGGGGUUUUAGAGAAGAAACUGAGCAUGACAAUGCAUAUGGAGGAGACUGAACCACACUGUGCUCCAUCACCUCACAUACCAGAAGUGACCCUCAGGCGGGAGUUUCGGAUUUGUGGGCAGAUUGGAGAAGCUGGUCAGAGGGAUAAAUUGUCCUAUACAAGCCUGAUCAACCAAAUUGAAUCUGGGCAGAGGAAAGGAUAUUCAGAGACUGAGAUCCUGGAAGCAGUCAUACGGGCCAUAAGCCCAGGGCUUCACCUGAGAGAGAUGCUGGAAAUCAAAAGAGGACUGACACUGUCCACUCUGAAAAUUAUCCUAAAAAGCCAUUUUAAAGUGGACUCUUCCUCUGACCUCCUUCAUCAGCUGAUGAACAUCUCACAAGAUCCAAAAGAAUCUGCACAGAAUUUCUUAUUUAGAGCUAUAGAACUGAAAGAAAAAAUGCUCUGGAAAUCAAAAGAAGAGGAUGAAAGCGAACAAUUCAGCCCAGAACUGAUACAAAGGAAAUUUCUGCGUUCCAUAGACACCGGACUGCUAAGCGAUGCAGUAAAAUUCCAACUAAAACCUUACCUGACUAAUCCUGCAGUAUCAGAUGAGGUCCUAAUUGAGCGGGUGAGUGAAGCUGCAAACUUAGAGCAAGAAAGACAAAAAAAACUGAGAAAAAGUGCAGUGAGUAGGUUCCCGAAAAUAAAUGAACUGAGAGCUGAAGGAGGCAUACAUGAGUUUCAACCUCCUUCCAUGGGAGAAGCUGCAACCACAAGUGAGAUAGGGGACACAGUGAUGACCAAAGAUGUAUUGAGAGGGGCCAAGAAAAAUCGAAACACAGAACAGGAAGCAGGAACAACUAAACUCAUCGAAGGACUGAAGGCUGAAAUGUUAGAACUAAAGAAACUGGUGUUGGAAACAGUGGAGAUUACUAAGAAACAUCAGACAGAGAGAGCUACCACACACAGCUACCGCAAACCCAGAGGUUGCCCAGCCUGUCUAGAAGCACAGUCAGGGGAGAGGUGCACUCACUGUUAUAAGUGUGGUCAAGGAGGACACCUUGCCAGAGGCUGCCGUCAGAACAGGGGACAGCAGGGAAACUGGACAGGGCUGCUGGGCCGGGACCCUCAGUAGCCCCACACAAAACACUCAGUCCCACCACAAACAAACCAGGCUCCCAUACAGAACUUUCAUCUACCCCAACAGCUCACUACAUGAAUCCACGGAGCAGACAGAAACUUCUGAACCUCAUAGGUAAGAGAUGCAUUGUUCAUUGUUGGAUGGAUGCCACUCCAGUAGAAGCAUUAUGGGACACUGGUGCCCAGGCAUGUCUCAUUAAUGAAGAAUGGAGACAAUUACACUUACCACACCAGCGAGUUAGACCUCUGAAUGAACUACUGGAGGUGGAUACACUUAUUGGGCUUGCAGCAAAUCAGACACAAAUUCCUUUUCUGGGCUGGGUGGAAGUGGAAUUUAGACUGGGCAAAGAUUCACUCUCAGCAGAACCCCUGUUGGUACCAGUACUUGUGUCAAGUGACUCCAGUGUGGCACAACAACCAAUAAUUGGCUACAAUGUCAUAGAGGAAGUGCUAGGAGACAACACACUUAAACACAGGAAACCGGAAGUCAUCCAAAAUGUGUGUGGAGCCUUUGCUGUCACUGUCCAAACUGCACAGACAAUUGUCAAACUAAUUCAGACAUCAGAUAGUCAGGUUGAUGUGGGUCUUGUGCACACAGGGAGAAGUCGAAUCAAAUUAGCAGCUGAACAAAUCACCAUCAUCCAUGUUAAAGUUAAUACUGGAACUCAGUUCAGAGGAGAGGACCUUCUUUUUGUUCCCUCGGAGGACUCGGUGCUGCCAGAAGGUGUCAGUGUUCAGGAGGGUCUCAUGACAGUUCCUACAGAAAACCCAGGAUUCGUAUCAAUCCCAAUUUCCAACACCAAUAAGUAUAAUGUUACUCUACAUCAGCGUGCAGUCCUGGGGCACCUAGAAGCAGUAAAGACAGCUUAUACUGUAAAUGCACAACAGUUGAACAUCACUGUUGGUGAACAACAAGAUGACCCUUCACACAGAACAAAGCCAGCUGCAGCUCAGUCCCUGAUUAUCAACAGCAAAGCAGAAAAACAGAAGCCAACACAGUGGGAUCCUCCAGUUGACCUCAGCCACUUAACGGAAAGCCAAAGACAGACGGUGAGACAGAUACUGAGAGAAGAGUGUCAUGCAUUCGCCUAUGAUGAAGGUGACAUAGGUUUAAUUCCCUCUUUGAAACUUCAAAUCACUCUGCAUGACACUACUCCAGUGAAGAAAACAUAUAUGUCAGUUCCCAAGCCAUUACAUCAGGAAGUUAAAGAAUACCUUCAAGAUCUACUGAAUAGAGGCUGGAUAACUCAGUCACGUUCUCCAUAUGCAUCACCAGUGGUAUGUGUGAGAAAGAAAGAUGGGGGUCUGAGGUUGUGCUGUGACUACCGGGAAUUAAACAAAAAAUCUGUCCCUGACCGCCACCCUAUUCCCCGAAUCCAAGACAUGCUUGAUUCUCUAACUGGCAGCUCCUGGUUCUCUGUAUUAGAUCAGGGGAAGGCGUACCAUCAAGGGUUUCUGGAUGAAAAAAGUCAGCCCUUAACUGCUUUCAUAACACCAUGGGGUUUGUACCAGUGGAUCAGAAUCCCCUUCGGUUUGAGUGCUGCCCCAGCAGAGUUCCAAAGAAGCAUGGAGGAAUGUCUGAUUGGUUUAAGAGAUGUGAUAUGCCAGCCCUAUCUGGAUGACAAUUUAGUUCACAGCCCAAGUUUUGAGGAUCAUCUCAACCACAUGAGAACUGUGUUACAAAGAUACCAGAAGCAUGGAGUGAAGCUGAGCCCAAAGAAGUGUGAGGUGUUCAAAAGAAGAGUGAGAUUUCUGGGACGUCUUGUCUCUGGUGAGGGCUACACGAUGGAUCCAGCAGAAGUGGCACCAGUUCAAACUUUGAAGGAGAGAACCCCCACAACUGUAGGAGAUCUGAGAAAAAUGCUGGGAUUUCUCUCCUAUUAUCGAACAUAUAUACCCAACUUCUCCAGAAUAGCUAAGCCCCUCUACCAGCUUCUGGCUAGUCCACCGGAAAAUCAACCUGAAAAUCCACCAUCAGGAAAGCAAAAAGACAGACGGAACAUCAACACUGCAAGAAAUAAAGGUAACCUCCCAUCAAACACUCCCAUUCACUGGACACAGAACCAUCAAGAGACAAUAAACACACUUAUUGACAAACUCACUGAGCCUCCCAUCCUUGGGUAUCCAGAUCUCACCCAACCAUUUAUUCUGCAUGUUGAUGCUUCCCAGGAAGGGUUGGGAGCAGUUCUGUAUCAGAGACAGAAUAACAAAAUGGUUGUCAUCGGGUAUGGAUCUAGAACACUGACCCCACCUGAGAAAAAUUAUCACAUGCAUUCAGGAAAAUUGGAAUUUCUAGCACUCAAGUGGGCAAUAUGUGAAAGGUUUAGAGAUUAUUUGUACCAUGCACCUCAUUUCACUGUAUAUACAGACAAUAACCCCCUGACCUACAUUCUCACCACAGCCAAGUUGAAUGCCACAGGUCACAGGUGGGUUGCCCAACUUGCCGAUUUCAAUUUCACCAUUAAAUAUCGACCAGGCAAACACAAUACAGACGCAGAUGGCCUCUCUCGCAUGCCACUGGACAUAAAUGACUUAUUGCAGCAAUGUACAGAAGAAGUGACUCAGGAUGUGAUUAGUGCUUCAAUUCAGGGAGUGACUGUGCUUCAAGAUGCCCCAUCUGUCUGGAUAACCACAGCUCACAUCAAUACACUGGACUUAGUAAGGGAUGCCUCUUCACCUUCAUUGCCUGCCCCACUAACACCAGAACAGAUCAGAGAAAGUCAAAAAAAAGACCCUCUCAUCAAGCGAGUCAUGCAUUAUAAAAGCCAAGAUCAAUUCCCCCCCAGAGGAGUGGUGAAAACCGAGACUGCAGAUGUUAGAGUGCUCUUGAGGCAGUGGCGAAAACUAUAUAUCAGCGAUGAUGGGAUCUUAUACAGAAAAGCAGGACAUACGUCUCAGCUAGUGUUGCCAAAAGAACAUCAUCCGUUAGUGUUUCGAGAAUUACACAAAGAGAUGGGUCAUCUGGGGGUCGAAAGGACUCUGAAUCUGAUCCGAGACAGGUUUUAUUGGGUCAGAAUGCAGCAGGACACAGAACAUUUUGUGACCCAAGUGUGUGAGUGUCUAAAGUCAAAACGACCACAGAGAGCAGCCAGAGCACCACUGAUGCCAAUUGUGACAACACGUCCAUUCGAACUGGUUUCAAUUGAUUUCCUGCAUCUAGAGGCCUGUAAGCAAGGCUAUGAGUAUAUUCUGGUUAUAAUGGAUCACUACACUCGCUUUGCACAGGCCUACCCCACAAAAAACAAAUCCGCAAAAACAGUUGUGGAAAAGCUAUUUGAUGACUUUGCCCUUCGCUUUGGCUUUCCGGAGAAAAUCCACCACGACAUGGGGAAGGAAUUUGAAAACCAGUUGAUGGCUCAACUGCAGAGGUGUUGUCACGUGCGAGGGUCCCACACUACCUGCUACCACCCACAGGGUAACGGACAAGUGGAGCGAUUUAACAGAACCCUGCUGUCUAUGCUCCGUACGCUCACAAGUGCGCAAAAGUCUGACUGGAAAAAGUCGUUAUGUAAGAUGGUGCACGCAUAUAACUGCACCCGCAGUGACACCACCGGCUUUGCUCCAUAUUAUCUACUCUAUGGGCGAUCCCCACGUCUGCCGAUAGAUCUCCUGUUUAACAUACAGCCAAAUGAAACACAGCAAAGCUAUGCUGAGUAUGUCAAAGAUUGGCAAAGCAGGAUGCAGCAAGCCUACAAGAUCGCAACCAAAACUGCCACCCGUGAAUCGAACAGAGGAAAAAAAGGAUAUGACAAAAGAGUUUAUGGAGCUGACCUGCAGCCUGGGGGGCGUGUGCUUGUACGCAACUUAUCAGAGAGAGGAGGUCCUGGUAAGCUCAGAUCCUUUUGGGAAGAUAAAGUGCACAUCAUCACAAAGAGAAGAAGUGAUAUCAGCCCAGUAUAUGAAGUAGUACCAGAAGGAGGUGGCAAAAGACGUGUGCUGCAUAGGAACCUCCUGCUCCCUUGUGACAGUCUGCCAAUCGACAGCCCAGAAAUAGACUCAAAAAUGACAAAAAGGACUAAAAAGACUAAGUCGAAUACAUCUCCAUGCCAUCUUUGUCAACGAGAAGAAUCUUCAGACAGUGAGAUGGAUGAGGAAAUGGAGCUAGUGUGCCAGUUUCCUCCUGCUCAGCACAAUGGUCACCGAGCUGUCAGCUUAAACCCAGAUGCUGAACCAUUUACACCAGACCAGCCUGACCAAGACAACGCAUCGAAAGUGAAUGAAUCUCAGGCUAAUUGGAUGAACAACAUACCAGAAGAAGAAGAUGGAGGCCAAGACAUGGAGCUACACCAGGAUCGCCCUGAGCCAUCUGCAGAAACAGCUACUGAGGAAGAAGAGGAUGCAGCUGUUCCACCACCUGCAUUCAGCUACCCAAAGAGAGAGCGUCGCCGUCCGAGGAUGCUGACCUAUUAUGCUUUGGGGGAGCCAACCAUGGUGGAAUUAGGCAUUAAAGAACUACCUGUGAGUAUGAUCCCAACCGGUAAAGAACUUUGGCGACCCUGGGUAGUUCCAGGUGUUAAAGUACAGAGUUAAAGACACACUGUAUAUAGGUUUAAGAACUACAUUUAAAAGAAAAAGACUAUACUUGAAUUCUCAAAAGACAGUUUAUUGACUGUGCUUUCAAGACAAAAGACUGGUAUCAGAAAAAAACUGUGGCUGAAAUUAAGGUUCUGUUACACUAGAGAGAUGAUCUGAACAUAUUUAGAAGUAUUUGUAACUGGACAUUUGUAAUCUAAAGUGACAAUAUCCUCUGUUAGUGGUGGACACUAUUACAAUAAUAUGUAAUAUAUGUAUGUAAUGAAUGUCAUGUUAAGUACCUUACUUAUAACAUCACUUCCAGUAAAAGGUCUUUAAAAUGUCAUAGGACAUUUUUUUUUAAUGAGGGGGAGAGUGUGGCAUACAGGCCAUUUUGAUGGAAUAGUCGAGGCCAAAUGAUGCACCUCCCACAAGAGAAAACGACACAAAGCGCACGAAGAGGCCUGCAGGGGGCCUGCAAAGCCCGUCUAAUGAAAAGUGGCUGCCUCCACAAACUGCACUGCUACACAAAGACGGCUUGAAAAUAAAAAUAAAAUCACA